rnacentral:rRNA from 1 species
AAGAGACAGCAGCAGCCGCGGGAAUACGUAGGUGGCAAGCGUUGUCCGGAAUUAUUGGGCGUAAAGGGCUCGCAGGCGGUUUCUUAAGUCUGAUGUGAAAGCCCCCGGCUCAACCGGGGAGGGUCAUUGGAAAUUGGGAAACUUGAGUGCAGAAGAGGAGAGUGGAAUUCCACGUGUAGCGGUGAAAUGCGUAGAGAUGUGGAGGAACACCAGUGGCGAAGGCGACUCUCUGGUCUGUAACUGACGCUGAGGAGCGAAAGCGUGGGGAGCAAACAGGAUUAGAUACCCGUGUAGUCCCUGUCUCUUAUAC